AUUGCGUCAUCGUUUGCGUCAUGACGUAACCGCUUACGUGCCUGCUUCAUAAAGCCAAACCGCGCGGAAAACCCUCACAGCUGACAGCGACAACAACGGCCGAUUGGGUUGAAGCGCUACUCGUUUUGGUUUUGCUCUGUCGAAACGAAAUGGAAGAAAUGGGACGACUUUACUACCAACUUUACAGUCGUUACAUGCUAAAUUCAAAACUACUUUACAAUCCUAAACAUCAACGACGAUUCAGAUUCCGUAGGAGAAAGAAGAUCAUGUUGAAGCUGGCGGAAAGGCGGAGGUCGCGUGUUAUUUGGACACAGCCCAGAUCUUCCGACUGGUGGAACACCAUUGUUCCAGACUUCUCCCCUCUGUAAUUCAUGCAGAAUUUCCGCGUGUCCAGGCAGUCCUUUGACUACAUCUGCAACCAGGUCAGCGGCGUUAUGGGGCGAAGAGACACAAAUUACCGUCUGUGUAUACCCAAUAAAAAACGGGUUGCAAUUGCCCUCUGGAAGCUGGCCACCGGAGGUGAAUACAGGACCAUCAGCCAUCUUUUCGGGGUAGGCCAAAGCACCGUUUGCCUCUGUGUUCAGGAUUUCUGCAGGGCAACCAUGGAAGUGCUGCUUCCACUACAUAUCACAUUUCCUGAUGUGGAGAAGUUGGUGGAAAUGGCCACUUUUUUCAACAGACGUUGGAGAGCACCACAGUGUGUUGGUGCAAUAGAUGGAAGCCACAUCCCUAUUUUAGCACCCCGAGAUUAUCCCAAGGACUAUUAUAACAGAAAAGGAUGGCAUUCUGUUGUUCUACAGGCUGUUGUUGAUGGCAGGGGGAUGUUCUGGGAUGUGUGUGUUGGCGACCCAGGUAGUGUACAUGAUGCUAGAGUGCUAAAACAAUCUAAUCUUUGGGUGGCUAUCAGUGAUAGAGUGUUGCUAGGCCAAAACAAAAUGACCAUCUCUGGCUGUGAUGUGGGACAUUACUUGAUUGGUGACCCAGCCUAUCCAAUGCAAAGAUGGCUAAUGAAACCAUUUUCGGACACUGGGAGACUGACCCCUGAACAGCACACCUACAAUUACAGACUGAGCAGUGCACGGUCGGUUGUUGAGAUGGCGUUUGGAAGGCUAAAAGGAAGAUGGAGGUGCCUCCUAAAAAGGAACUGAGCUCAGCAAAAUAAUGACAGUGACUUGCUGUGUACUACACAACAUAUGUGAGGAACAUAGCGACAACUUCACUGACGAUUGCCAUGAACUUGUGUACGACCAACCCGCUUUACACCCCUUACCAGAUAAUGGUAGACAAGAAGGAGCUGAUGUUAGAUCCGCAUUGAUGGACUAUUUCAACAUGGGGGACCACUAAUAUUACUGCAGUUAAACCUGAUCUAUUUUGUAUCAUGCCUCUUUUUUUUGUAUAAUAAAAUCACUGGAUCA